GACGAACGCUGGCGGCGUGCUUAACACAUGCAAGUCGAACGGAAAGGCCCUGCUUUUGUGGGGUGCUCGAGUGGCGAAAGGGUGAGUAACACGUGAGUCACCUGCCCUUGACUUUGGGAUAACUUCAGGAAACUGGGGCUAAUACCGGAUAGGAGUUCCUGCUGCAUGGUGGGGGUUGGAAAGUUUCGGCGGCUGGGGAUGGACUCGCGGCUUAUCAGCUUGUUGGUGGGGUAGUGGCUUACCAAGGAUUUGACGGGUAGCCGGCCUGAGAGGGUGACCCGCCACAUGAGGACUGAGCUACGGCCACGACUCCUACGGGAGGCAGCAGUGGGGAAGAUUGCACAAUGGGCGGAGGCCUUAUGCAGCAACGCCGCGUGCGGGAUGACGGCCUUCGGGUUGUAAACCGCUUGCGCCUGUGACGAAGCGUGGGUGACGGUAAUGUGUAAAGAGGCACCGGCUAACUACGUG
rnacentral:rRNA from 1 species